rnacentral:rRNA from 1 species
CAGUAGCCGCGGGAAUACGGAGGGGGCUAGCGUUGUUCGGAAUUACUGGGCGUAAAGCGCACGUAGGCGGCUUGGUAAGUUAGAGGUGAAAGCCCGGAGCUCGACUCCGGAAUUGCCUUUAAGACUGCCGAGCUAGUAGGUGAGAGAGGUAAGUGGAAUUCCGAGUGUAGAGGUGAAAUUCGUAGAUAUUCGCAGGAACACCAGUGGCGAAGGCGGCUAACUGGUCCAUAACUGACGCUGAGGUGCGAAAGCGUGGGGAGCAAACAGGAUUAGAUACCCCAGUAGUCCCUGUCUCUUAUAC